UGGUUCAUAUUCAUAACAAUUGCAGGGUCCUGGUGUCACAUGAUCACUUUUUGCAACCUUUUGACAAGCAAAGUCAAUGGGGAA